rnacentral:rRNA from 1 species
UCAGUUGGCUUAUAAUUGAAGUCUAGUAUGAAUGGGAACUCGGGGAUAUUCUGUCUUUUAUUUACGAUUUGAAAUUACUAAUUAAGUGAAAAUUCUUAACCUUUCAGAAAAAAGACGAGAAGACCCUAGAAAUUUUUUAUUAUAUAUUUUGUUGGGGCGACAAGGUAACAUAAAACUUACCUAUGCAAUAGGAAAUUUUUUAGUUGGGUAAAUAAAUUACUCUAGGGAUAACAGCAUAAUAUUUUAAAGUUUGUGACCUCGAUGUUGGACUAGGAAAUACCCUACU